rnacentral:rRNA from 1 species
UUGAACGCUGGCGGCAGGCCUAACACAUGCAAGUCGAACGGUAACAGGAAGCAGCUUGCUGCUUUGCUGACGAGUGGCGGACGGGUGAGUAAUGUCUGGGAAACUGCCUGAUGGAGGGGGAUAACUACUGGAAACGGUGGCUAAUACCGCAUAACGUCGCAAGACCAAAGAGGGGGACCUUCGGGCCUCUUGCCAUCAGAUGUGCCCAGAUGGGAUUAGCUUGUUGGUGAGGUAACGGCUCACCAAGGCGACGAUCCCUAGCUGGUCUGAGAGGAUGACCAGCCACACUGGAACUGAGACACGGUCCAGACUCCUACGGGAGGCAGCAGUGGGGAAUAUUGCACAAUGGGCGCAAGCCUGAUGCAGCCAUGCCGCGUGUAUGAAGAAGGCCUUCGGGUUGUAAAGUACUUUCAGCGGGGAGGAAGGUGUUGUGGUUAAUAACCGCAGCAAUUGACGUUACCCGCAGAAGAAGCACCGGCUAACUCCGUGCCAGCAGCCGCGGUAAUACGGAGGGUGCAAGCGUUAAUCGGAAUUACUGGGCGUAAAGCGCACGCAGGCGGUCUGUCAAGUCGGAUGUGAAAUCCCCGGGCUCAACCUGGGAACUGCAUUCGAAACUGGCAGGCUUGAGUCUUGUAGAGGGGGGUAGAAUUCCAGGUGUAGCGGUGAAAUGCGUAGAGAUCUGGAGGAAUACCGGUGGCGAAGGCGGCCCCCUGGACAAAGACUGACGCUCAGGUGCGAAAGCGUGGGGAGCAAACAGGAUUAGAUACCCUGGUAGUCCACGCCGUAAACGAUGUCUACUUGGAGGUUGUGCCCUUGAGGCGUGGCUUCCGGAGCUAACGCGUUAAGUAGACCGCCUGGGGAGUACGGCCGCAAGGUUAAAACUCAAAUGAAUUGACGGGGGCCCGCACAAGCGGUGGAGCAUGUGGUUUAAUUCGAUGCAACGCGAAGAACCUUACCUGGUCUUGACAUCCACAGAACUUUCCAGAGAUGGAUUGGUGCCUUCGGGAACUGUGAGACAGGUGCUGCAUGGCUGUCGUCAGCUCGUGUUGUGAAAUGUUGGGUUAAGUCCCGCAACGAGCGCAACCCUUAUCCUUUGUUGCCAGCGGUCCGGCCGGGAACUCAAAGGAGACUGCCAGUGAUAAACUGGAGGAAGGUGGGGAUGACGUCAAGUCAUCAUGGCCCUUACGACCAGGGCUACACACGUGCUACAAUGGCGCAUACAAAGAGAAGCGACCUCGCGAGAGCAAGCGGACCUCAUAAAGUGCGUCGUAGUCCGGAUUGGAGUCUGCAACUCGACUCCAUGAAGUCGGAAUCGCUAGUAAUCGUGGAUCAGAAUGCCACGGUGAAUACGUUCCCGGGCCUUGUACACACCGCCCGUCACACCAUGGGAGUGGGUUGCAAAAGAAGUAGGUAGCUUAACCUUCGGGAGGGCGCUUACCACUUUGUGAUUCAUGACUGGGGUG